rnacentral:rRNA from 1 species
UGCGUAGGCGGACCUAUAAGUCAGUGGUGAAAGCCCGCAGCUAAACUGCGGAACUGCCAUUGAUACUGUAGGUCUUGAAUAUAGUCGAGGUGGGCGGAAUGUAAUGUGUAGCGGUGAAAUGCUUAGAUAUGUUACAGAACACCAAUUGCGAAGGCAGCUUGCUAGACUAUUAUUGACGCUGAGGCACGAAAGCGUGGGGAGCGAACAGGAUUAGAUACCCUGGUAGUCC